rnacentral:rRNA from 1 species
UACGAAGGGGGCUAGCGUUGCUCGGAAUCACUGGGCGUAAAGCGCACGUAGGCGGCUUUCUAAGUCGGGGGUGAAAUCCUGGAGCUCAACUCCAGAACUGCCUUUGAUACUGAGGAGCUUGAGUCCGGGAGAGGUGAGUGGAACUGCGAGUGUAGAGGUGAAAUUCGUAGAUAUUCGCAAGAACACCAGUGGCGAAGGCGGCUCACUGGCCCGGUACUGACGCUGAGGUGCGAAAGCGUGGGGAGCAAACAGG